AGAACGAACGCUGGCGGCAGGCUUAACACAUGCAAGUCGAGCGCCCAGCAAUGGGAGCGGCGGACGGGUGAGUAACACGUGGGAACAUGCCCUUUGGUACGGGACAACUCAGGGAAACUUGAGCUAAUACCGUAUGAGCCGGUAACGGGAAAGAUUUAUCGCCAAAGGAAUGGCCCGCGUCCGAUUAGCUAGUUGGUGAGGUAAUGGCUCACCAAGGUACCGAUCGGUAGCUGGUUUGAGAGAACGACCAGCCACACUGGGACUGAGACACGGCCCAGACUCCUACGGGAGGCAGCAGUGGGGAAUCUUGGACAAUGGGGGCAACCCUGAUCCAGCCAUGCCGCGUGAGUGAUGAAGGCCUUCGGGUUGUAAAACUCUUUCGACGGGGACGAUAAUGACGGUACCCGUAGAAGAAGCUCCGGCUAACUUCGUGCCAGCAGCCGC
rnacentral:rRNA from 1 species